AAUACUUAGGAAUCUACCUAUUAAUGGGGGACAACAUUUCGAAAGGAAUGCUAAUACCGCAUACGCCCUACGGGGGAAAGCAGGGGAUCUUCGGACCUUGCGUUAAUAGAUGAGCCUAAGUCGGAUUAGCUAGUUGGUGGGGUAAAGGCCUACCAAGGCGACGAUCUGUAGCGGGUCUGAGAGGAUGAUCCGCCACACUGGGACUGAGACACGGCCCAGACUCCUACGGGAGGCAGCAGUGGGGAAUAUUGGACAAUGGGGGGAACCCUGAUCCAGCCAUGCCGCGUGUGUGAAGAAGGCCUUUUGGUUGUAAAGCACUUUAAGCGAGGAGGAGGCUACUGGUACUAAUACUACCAGCUAGCGGACGUUACUCGCAGAAUAAGCACCGGCUAACUCUGUGCCAGCAGCCGCGGUAAUACAGAGGGUGCGAGCGUUAAUCGGAUUUACUGGGCGUAAAGCGUGCGUAGGUGGCCAAUUAAGUCAAAUGUGAAAUCCCCGAGCUUAACUUGGGAAUUGCAUUCGAUACUGGUUGGCUAGAGUAUGGGAGAGGAUGGUAGAAUUCCAGGUGUAGCGGUGAAAUGCGUAGAGAUCUGGAGG
rnacentral:rRNA from 1 species